rnacentral:rRNA from 1 species
UGGGGAAUAUUGCACAAUGGGCGCAAGCCUGAUGCAGCCAUGCCGCGUGUAUGAAGAAGGCCUUCGGGUUGUAAAGUACUUUCAGCGGGGAGGAAGGGAGUAAAGUUAAUACCUUUGCUCAUUGACGUUACCCGCAGAAGAAGCACCGGCUAACUCCGUGCCAGCAGCCGCGGUAAUACGGAGGGUGCAAGCGUUAAUCGGAAUUACUGGGCGUAAAGCGCACGCAGGCGGUUUGUUAAGUCAGAUGUGAAAUCCUCGGGCUCAACCUGGGAACUGCAUCUGAUACUGGCAAGCUUGAGUCUCGUAGAGGGGGGUAGAAUUCCAGGUGUAGCGGUGAAAUGCGUAGAGAUCUGGAAGAAUACCGGUGGCGAAGGCGGCCCCCUGGACGAAGACUGACGCUCAGGUGCGAAAGCGUGGGGAGCAAACAGG